AUUGAACGCUGGCGGCAUGCUUUACACAUGCAAGUCGAACGGCAGCACAGGGAGCUUGCUCCCGGGUGGCGAGUGGCGCACGGGUGAGUAAUACAUCGGAACGUGUCCUGUUGUGGGGAGUAACUGCUCGAAAGGGUGGCUAAUACCGCAUGAGACCUGAGGGUGGAAAGCGGGGGAGUCGCAAGACCUCGCGCAAUUGGAGCGGCCGAUGCCCGAUUAGCUAGUUGGUGAGGUAAAGGCUCACCAAGGCGACGAUCGGUAGCUGGUCUGAGAGGACGACCAGCCACACUGGGACUGAGACACGGCCCAGACUCCUACGGGAGGCAGCAGUGGGGGAAUUUUGGACAAAUGGGGGGCGAACCCUGAUCCAGCCAUGCCGCGUGCAGGAUGAAGGCCUUCGGUUGUAAACUGCUUUGUUCAGGGACGAAAAGGACCGUGUUAAUACCAUGGUCUGCUGACGGUACCUGAAGAAUAAGCACCGGCUAACUACGU
rnacentral:rRNA from 1 species